rnacentral:rRNA from 1 species
UACGUAGGGGGCUAGCGUUGUCCGGAUUUAUUGGGCGUAAAGAGCGUGUAGGCGGCCAGAUAGGUCCGUUGUGAAAACUGGAGGCUUAACCUCCAGCUGUCGAUGGAAACCAUCUGGCUAGAGUCCGGAAGAGGAGAGUGGAAUUCCUGGUGUAGCGGUGAAAUGCGCAGAUAUCAGGAAGAACACCCGUGGCGAAGGCGGUUCUCUGGGACGGUACUGACGCUGAGACGCGAAAGCGUGGGGAGCGAACAGG